AACAAACGCUGGCGGCGUGCCUAACACAUGCAAGUCGCACGAGAAAUCUUGAGCAAUCGGGAGAGUAAAGUGGCGCACGGGUGAGUAGCGCGUGGGUAACCUACCCCUGGAUUUGGGAUAACUCCGCGAAAGCGGGGCUAAUACCGAAUAAUAUGCCGAUUCCUUUGGGGAUUGGCAUCAAAGAUGGCCUCUGCAUGCAAGCUAUUGUCCAAGGAUGGGCCCGCGUACCAUUAGCUAGUUGGUAGGGUAAUGGCCUACCAAGGCUGCAAUGGUUAGCUGGUCUGAGAGGAUGACCAGCCACACUGGAACUGAGACACGGUCCAGACUCCUACGGGUGGCAG
rnacentral:rRNA from 1 species